CUAUGUAUCCUUCCAUUGCACUUCUACAGAGGAGAUUUUCUGGGCAAAAAGAAGUUGGAAGCUUGUUAUGAAAAACCAAGAGGAUGGGCUGAAGAGCAAAGAAGGAAUGCCAGAAACAGUCAAGACUGAAAAGAGAUUAUGAUUUUGAUGUUCAUUUCUUUCUUAGCAAAAGCAAACUCCACAGCAUGUUUUGUAGAAGAUGGUAUAUGCUGACACACAAAGGCACAGGACAUUUUGGAGCCCAGAUGUCAACAAAUUCAAUGAGACUUAAAUUCCUACAAGCCUUUUUGAACCUCACUUCUACACCAGGUAUCACCUGGAGGGUUGCUCCAUUUCCUCAGCUCUGCCAGAACCUGGAAACCACUUGCAAGAGGGCUUCUUUGUACUAAGGUGAUGCUUUUCCAAGAGUUGUCCUUCUGAGCCUGAUGUCAUAACCUGUGAUUACUCAGUUGU
rnacentral:lncRNA from 1 species